rnacentral:lncRNA from 1 species
CACUCCAGAUGUGGAUAUUUGGGAAGCACCUCUUUGGCCACUGCAGGAUGAGCUGUGACCACCGGGUUGUCUCCUGGCAAGUGAUUAUCCAUCCAGGCUGUGCCACAAUUAGUGAAGCUGAGGUGGGAUUUCGAGGAGAAGAAUUCCUGCUUGUUUCCUGGGUUGGUGUUUCUAUUACAAGCCCCAAAAAGUUAAAACUCUGUGGGGUUUUAAACUCUCAUCCGUGAGGAGACAGAGCUGCUGCUGUUCCCUCUCCGUGCACAGCUACAAAAGCAAAUUAAAAAUUGGUUUUGGUGGUUAAACAUUGAGGAUGCCUUGAAUCUUUUAUCCCAAAUUUCUCAGAGCAUGUGGAUUGGUGUUCUCCCACCCAUCUAUAUUUUAAUUUAUAUCUGCUUUGAAUCAGGCUCCAAACGGGAAAACAGCACAGAUGAAACAAGAACAGCUCCAGUCGUGGCCGAUCCCUUCCCCACUCCCCCAGGAAUUCCCGGAAUUCCAGAGGGUCCUGCUUGCCUUUCCUUUUCCCAGAGCAUCCAGUCCUGCUCUGGGAAAUCCCAGAUUUGGGGCUGGGGGAUGCAGGGACAGUGCCCAAGUGUCCAAGGCCAGCUUGGAUGGGAUUUGGAGCAGCCUGGGAUGGGGGAAUGGGAUUUGAGGUUUUUCCCAAACCAAAUCCAUCUGGAAUUCCAAGAUUGCAUGGCACAGGGGACAAGGAUCAGGAGAACACAGGGACGAGGAUGAGAAGCCCCAGAGUGGGACCAACAGAGGGGUCUGACCUCAGCCCAAGGGGUCCCAAAUAUUUAUAUAAAUAAAAUAUAUAAUAACUAGAAUAAUAUCUAUUUU